GCACAAGCGGUGGAUGAUGUGGUUUAAUUCGACGCAACGCGAAAACCUUACCUACCCUUGACAUGUCAAGAAUCUUGCAGAGAUGUGAGAGCGCUCGAAAGAGAACUUGAACACAGGUGCUGCAUGGCCGUCGUCAGCUCGUGUCGUGAGAUGUUGGGUUAAGUCCCGCAACGAGCGCAACCCUUGUCAUUAGUUGCUACGAAAGGGCACUCUAAUGAGACUGCCGGUGACAAACCGGAGGAAGGUGGGGAUGACGUCAGGUCCUCAUGGCCCUUAUGGGUAGGGCUACACACGUCAUACAAUGGCCGGUACAGAGGGCUGCCAACCCGCGAGGGGGAGCCAAUCCCAGAAAACCGGUCGUAGUCCGGAUCGCAGUCUGCAACUCGACUGCGUGAAGUCGGAAUCGCUAGUAAUCGCGGAUCAGCUUGCCGCGGUGAAUACGUUCCCGGGUCUU
rnacentral:rRNA from 1 species